UGGAAACUGUCCGAAACCAUCAAGCACUCCAGAUAAAAUACUGGGUGGCUUCUGUGCAUUCAAUUUUACAUCAGGGCCAGCGGCUGGUAAAUUUUGAUGGGACCGACAACCUGAUUAUAGUGCUUAUCGCGAAAGUAGCUUUGGUCAUGGUAUUCUAGAGGUGAAAAAUGAGACUCAUGCUUUGUGGACAUGGCAUCGGAAUCAGGACUUGUAUGACAAUGCUGGAGAUAUAAUUUAUAUAGUGAGACAACCUGAGAGGUGCCCAGCUGAGGCAAAGACAUAGAGACACAAAGAACAAGGCAUAGUGAUAGAGAAGACACCGGAAAACGUACAGCAUCGAAGCAAUAUUUGGUUAUAAUCUUUUAAAUUUUAUUUGCUAUAUUUAAUCAAAUGUUUGAUUAAUUUGUGAAAUUAGAAAUAAAU